rnacentral:rRNA from 1 species
GGCGUAUGGUUGUCCAGGUGAAAGUAUGUAGGUAGGAAUGAUAGGCAAAUCCGGUGUUCUGUUGAUCUGAGAUACGAGACGAAGUUAAAAUUGUUUGACGAAGCUAUUGAUACCAUGCUUCCAGGAAAAGCUUCUAAGUAUAUUGUAUAAGUGACCGUACUGUACACCGACACUGGUGGGUAGGUAGAGAAUACUAAGGCUAUGAGAUAACUCUGGUGAAGGAACUAGGCAAAAUGACAACGUAACUUUGGAAGAAUGUGUGCCCUUG